GUGAAUCAUCAAAUCUUUGAACGCAAAUUGCACUCUCCUCGGAGAGUAUGACUGUUUGAGGGUCAGCCUAUAAAAAUUGACAUUGUUGCUGUUUCGCGGUGGUGUUUGUCGGAAAUUGGGUCAUCUUAAAUCCUUUUGAUUUAAGUGACUUAAAAUUUUCUUUUGGUUCCAUGAUCGUUUCUAAGAUCUAUUUCUUUACACGUUUAUGGUAUCGAUUUUUACUAGACGUGACUAUCAUAUCGGAUUGAGUUCAUAAUUUUUCAUUAACUGAACUUAGACUGGUAUGAGUAU
rnacentral:misc_RNA from 1 species